GACGAACGCUGGCGGCGUGCCUAAUACAUGCAAGUCGAACGCAUUUUCUUUCACCGUAGCUUGCUACACCGAAAGAAACUGAGUGGCGAACGGGUGAGUAACACGUGGGUAACCUGCCCAUCAGCGGGGGAUAACACUUGGAAACAGGUGCUAAUACCGCAUAAUUCCAUUUACCGCAUGGUAGAUGGGUGAAAGGCGCUUUUGCGUCACUGUUGGAUGGACCCGCGGUGCAUUAGCUAGUUGGUGGGGUAACGGCCUACCAAGGCUGCGAUGCAUAGCCGACCGGAUAGGAUGAUCGGCCACCCUGGGACGGAGACACGGCCCAGACGGCUACGGGAGGCAGCAGUAGGGAAUCUUCGGCAAUGGACGCAAGUCUGACCGAGCAACGCCGAGGGAGUGAAGAAGGAUGUCGGAUCGUAAAACUCGGUUGUUAGAGAAGAACAAGGAUGAGAGUGGAAAGUUCAUCCCUUGACGGUAUCUAACCAGAAAGCCACGGCUAACUACGUG
rnacentral:rRNA from 1 species